GUAGUCUGCAACUCGACUACAUGAAGCUGGAAUCGCUAGUAAUCGCGAAUCAGCAUGUCGCGGUGAAUACGUUCCCGGGCCUUGUACACACCGCCCGUCACACCAUGAGAGUUGGGAAUACCCGAAGCCUGUGAGCUAACGAAAGNGGCAGCAGUCGAAGGUAGAAUCAAUGAUUGGGGUGAAGUCGUAACAAGGUAAC
rnacentral:rRNA from 1 species